UUCAUUUCUUGGUCUUUUGACUAAAAUCGAACGUACUAUCUUCCCUUAUCAUUUUACUAUCUGAUAUGUCUUCUAUAUGAAGGCAAUCUACUGAAAGGCUUUGUGGGAAUAGGAAAUGGAAUAUUGGCUUGCUUCAUCCAUUCCAUGCAGUGACUUGGUAUUGCAAUACCUUCAGGAAUGAUGUGCCCUGU